AGCCCUGUACCUCAGUGGUUAGAGCACUCGCCUCCCAGGCGAGAGGCCUGGGUUCGAUUCCCAGCAGGGCGA